rnacentral:ncRNA from 2 species
GGUUGGGCAAAAUAUUUUUGCUUUCAAGAUGACUAAAGGCUUCUGGGGUGGGAAGUC